GAAAUAUUCCCUCCAUUCGGAAUUACUCGUCCAAGAAAUGAAUGUAUCUAGAUGUAUUUUAGUUGUAGAUACAUCCAUUUUUGUGACAAGUAAUUCUGAACGGAGGGAGUAUAUG
rnacentral:pre_miRNA from 1 species